GGCCCCUUAGCUCAGUGGUUAGAGCAGUCGACUCAUAAUCGAUUGGUCCCCAGUUCAAGUCUGGGAGGGGCCA
rfam:Vibrio furnissii NCTC 11218 chromosome 1, complete sequence.